GGGCCCGGCCACGGGGUGGGUGAGGACCGGACGCCCCGGAGCCCGCGGGGCUACCGGGGCAGUGUGUGUGCCUAUGUUCUAGGUCUCCGUCCCUCCAGAGGCCCGUCUGUCCAUCUCCCGGGCCCCGCGUCGUCGGUGCGUGUGGCCAAGGGCGAGGCGACAAGCGAGACCAAGGUCAGCGAGAAGGAGCGACGCUUCCCGGCGCCAGCGGGGGCGGUGUCUCGCUCCCUCCCCUCCCGGGCCUCCGGGUCAGCUCCGGCAGCGCCUCGGGAACCGGGACGGACUCCCCUUGGCCUCGCCGAGGUCCUUGAGCCUGGGACCCCCUCCAGGAACUCCGCUCCCCGGCACCUGCGCGCGCCCGCUCCCGUUCCUCCGGCCCCCACCCAGCUCGGCUCCCCUGAUCCUCCUCCUCCCUCCUCCCUCCUCGAGGGCUAGGAUAGUUGCCAAGGAGACAGCCCCGCCCCGGCUCCCAGAGGCACAGCUUCUCCGCCCCAGGAAGCCCGGCGGUUGGCCGAUGGGGCUCGUGCUCUAGCCGCCCCGCCUCCUCCAACCCCGCGGACGGCUGGGCGUUAAUGGUCGCCAGGGAACGCCAGGCGCCUUCCUGAUUGGCCGGGAGUGCUGUGGUCGGGUCCGCCUCCCCUGUCGGCCAGAAGCGCCUUCAGGAGGUAGUGGGAGGGAGGUGCCAGGCAUCUCCCCUCCAGCCCGGCCUGUGCCAUCAAAACUUUUCCCGCCCCCACUUAGCCUCCAUUAUGUUUUAUGAAAGCCAGAAGAUCUGAGGACAGACACCCUUCCUCCUCGUCAGCCUCACACCCCUUGCCUCUCCCCUCCACCUUCCCCAGCGCCUGAGUUUAACUCAAUCCCUGGCAGCCUUAGUCCCUGUUGUUAGAUUUCCUCACAGGGAGGCAGGAUUCCUUCCAGGUGAGGGUGAUACAAAGGAGAAUUGGACUGAGAGAACCAUCUGGCCUUCGAGGCAUCUAACAACUCUCCAGUCUUGUCUGACUCGAAUGGAGUCUUGCAGAGGAAGGGAACCUGAGAAACACUGCCUCGGGCGCAGCUUUGAAUUGAGGAAGUGAGCCUGGACAGACAACUUAAUAUCAUCCAGUUCUUGUCUUUUUUUUCUACGCUUCGUGCUGAAACAAGUUUGGCAGCGUUCUUGACAGUUAACGAGCCCGAUGCCCCUGUGUGAGCAGGAGCCAUGGAUCGUGUUUUCUUGUCGCCUACCCAGACAAAUGAAGGGAAGAGAAUGUUUGGGAGGAAGGAUGGCCUCUCCUUCCUGAAAAGAGGUGAGAACAAGAACUUGAAGAAUGCCAAGUGGUAAAAAGUGGAGAGAAACUAUCUAAAUAAAGGCUUACAGGUGGGGCGCACUGGCUCAUGUCU
rnacentral:lncRNA from 1 species